rnacentral:rRNA from 1 species
UUUUCUGUAUUAUCUGGAACACACUCGUGUCUCAUCUGAUUUUGAAAGCCAAGCAGGUUCAGGCCUGAUUAGCAGUUGGGUGGGAGCCCAGGAAGGAUCUAGGAAAAAU